GAGUUUACACUGGCAGCACAUAGACUAAAAUUAAAACAAUACUGAGUAGUCUGGCAUGGCCCUGUGUAAGGAUGACACUCUCAUUUGUGAAGUACUCUGUAUUUUU
ensembl:snRNA U6 U6 spliceosomal RNA